rnacentral:rRNA from 1 species
GUCGUUCGACGGCCAGUGAUUAGAGUUUGAUCAUGGCUCAGGAUGAACGCUGGCGGCGUGCCUAACACAUGCAAGUCGAACGGAGUUACUAGAGCUUGCUUUGGUAACUUAGUGGCGGACGGGUGAGUAAUGUAUGAGCAACCUGCCUUUCAGAGGGGGACAACAGUUGGAAACGACUGCUAAUACCGCAUAAUGUACGUUGGGGGCAUCUCCGAAGUACCAAAGGAGCGAUCCGCUGAAAGAUGGGCUCAUAUCUGAUUAGUUAGUUGGCAGGGUAACGGCCUACCAAGACUGCGAUCAGUAGCCGGACUGAGAGGUUGAACGGCCACAUUGGGACUGAGAUACGGCCCAGACUCCUACGGGAGGCAGCAGUGGGGAAUAUUGGGCAAUGGGCGAAAGCCUGACCCAGCAACGCCGCGUGAAGGAAGAAGGUCUUCGGAUUGUAAACUUCUUUUAUGAGGGACGAAGGACGUGACGGUACCUCAUGAAUAAGCCACGGCUAACUACGUGCCAGCAGCCGCGGUAAUACGUAGGUGGCGAGCGUUAUCCGGAUUUACUGGGUGUAAAGGGCGCGUAGGCGGGGAAGCAAGUCAGGUGUGAAAUCUAUGGGCUUAACCCAUAAACUGCACUUGAAACUGUUUUUCUUGAGUGCUGGAGAGGUAGACGGAAUUCCUUGUGUAGCGGUGAAAUGCGUAGAUAUAAAGAAGAACACCAGUGGCGAAAGCGGUCUACUGGACAGUAACUGACGCUGAGCGCGAAAGCGUGGGGAGCAAACAGAUUAGAUACCCUGGUAGUCCACGCUGUAAACGAUGAAUACUAGUUGUGGGGGGACUGACCCCCUCCGUGCCGCAGUUACACAACAAGUAUUCCACCUGGGGAGUACGCCGCAAGUUGAAACUCAAAGGAAUUGACGGGGCCCGCACAGCAGUGAUUAUGUGUUUAAUCGAAGCACGCGAAGACUACAGCUGACAUCACUACGAGCAAGAUGCAUAGUGCCCUCGGAAAGUGAACAGUGGUGCAUGUGUCGUCAGCUCUGUCUGAAAUGUUGCUAGUCGCACAGCGCAACCUAUUGUAUUGCUACCAGAUCCCUUCGGAACUGCGUGACAAAUAGAAGGUGGGCACUCGAUCUGCUAUUCCAUGGCUCACUAUCACAUGUCGCUCCACAUAACAUGGUAUGAGAAAGCAUGC